GAAAGACAGAGAGAGAGAGAAACAACCAGUUAAAAAGAAAAUAAAGUAUAAGAAAAAGCUGUAGACGCUCUACAAGCUGACAGCAGCCGUGAGCAGAGUAAUGGAGCCCCAAGAGAUCAGAGAGGGAUACUUGGUCAAAAAGGGUACAGUGCUGAACUCCUGGAACGCAGUGUGGGUGGUGCUGUCAGAAGAUGGGGUGGAAUUUUAUAAAAAGAAAACAGACCGUUCUCCAAAGGGAAUGAUUCCACUGAAGGGAGCCACGCUGGUCAGCCCGUGUCAGGAUUAUGGCAAAAGGACGCUUGUUUUUAAGAUUACCACAGACAAGAAGCAGGAUCACUUCUUCCAAGCAUCACACGUUGAGGAGAGGGAGAACUGGGUCAAAGACAUAAAGAGGGCUAUAACCUGUUUAGCCGGAGGAAGAAAGUUUGCCAGGAAGUCCACGAGGAGGUCCAUUCGCUUACCUGAAACAGUCAACUUGAAUGAACUGUACGCACUGAUGAGAGACCCGGACGAUGGAGUGAAAGAGCUGAAACUGGAACAGGAGAAAAGAGUGUUCAACCACUGCUUCACCGGUGCGACAGUGGUGGACUGGCUGAUUUCGAAGGAGAAAGCGAGAAAUCGGCCUGAGGCUCUCAUGUUAGCAACAGGACUCCUGAAUGAAGGCUUUCUCCAGCCUGCAGGCGACUUAUCAAAGGAAGGUGCUGACAGCAGAGAGCAGUCUGUUCUGUUGGAUCAGCCUGACGCCCUCUACUACUUCGCAGACAGUGGGUUUUUCUGUGAAGGAUACUCCAGUGAUGAAGAUGAGCUCGUGAAGGAGGAAUUCAGAGGAAAUAUCAUAAAACAGGGCUGCUUACUUAAACAGGGACAUCGGAGAAAGAACUGGAAGGUGCGGAAGUUCAUACUGAGGGACGACCCUGCUUAUCUGCAUUAUUACGAUCCGACAAAGGGCGAUGAUCCCCUGGGUUCGAUCCAUCUGCGUUCAUGUGUGGUUACAGCUGUGGAAUAUGUGCCUGAUGCAAAGAAAUAUGACAUUGAUGGCAACCUCUUUGAGAUCAUCACCUCAGAGGAGACUCACUACUAUCUCCAAGCUGCUACUGCUGACGAAAGAAAGGAGUGGAUCAAGGCGAUACAGGCAGUGUCGAAAAGUGGAAAAUAAUAAGGGCAGUUCAGAAGUAGGGAUGAUGUUCUACUAAAUGUUUGGUUCAAGAAAGGAAAAGAAAGCACAAAGAAAGAAACAAAAGAAGAAAUGUGAACACAGGACAAUCUCCAUAGGGAAAACUGUACAUGUAGUACUGUAGGAAUUCCAGAGCUGUCUUCCUACACCUCCUGUCGUUCAGGUCUGUAGGGUCACAAAUUCUCAUUCACGUCACAACACAUAUCUUCACUUCGUUAGAAAAAGUCAUAAUUCACCCGGGAGCAAUUUACCAUUUCAGGACAGAAAAAACAUGUAAUGGAAAUGUAUAGAAAUAUGUUUGACAUAUUAUGACAACUUGUUUAACCAUUUUACAUGUAAAGAUUUAUGUGAUGAACUAAUGCCUAAAUGUUGUGGGGGUGAAACUAUUCAACAGAAACCAUUAUAAUACAUUUUGAUCAACAUGUCAUAAGCAAUUGAUAACGUAGGAAACAGCAGAGAAUUGUACAUAAUCAUUUGCAUGGAUGUACCAAAGCAUUUUCAACUUGUUCAAAGGAAUAAGAAACUGCUUUUUUGAUGUGCACAAGUGACACAAUGAUGUGAAGGUUGUACAAGUAGUUUUAAGAUCAAGAUUAGAUCAACAGCAUCUAUUCACUUGGGAAUUUGAUUUUAGUGAUUUAUUCUGAACAUGCAAUGAAAUUUAACAUAUAUGUGAAGAAGCUAAACAGAAAUAAUUAUACAAAAAUCAAGAAUCAAGACAAUCUUAGACAGAAGAACAGCACAAUACUUUCAUUUACAUGUCUGAAAAGGGGUUGGAAGAAGUGCAGGUUAUUUAGCCCCACCCCCUCUCCAUAAAAUAUUAUUAAUAAUAUAUACAGUAUUUAUCUUAUUCCUUUUUACAUUACUUUUAACUCACUGUCCACUGAAGCGUCACACAUGUAUCUAAAUGCAAUGAUAGUUCCACAUUUUCUUUACUGUAUGACCAGUUGGACACAGGCUUGUAAAUUUGCCCUAAGGCCUCUAGAGUCAUUGUAUGAAUAUUCUCUCAAGAUCCAUGACAAGAGAAGAUGAGCAUUCCAUCACUGCUCAAUUUUGUCCAAAUAUAAGCUCUUAAGCCUGCCGGGAGGAGGCCCCGGGGAAGACUUGGGACACGUUGGAGAGACUAUGUCUCUAGGCUGGCCUGGGAACACCUCAGUGUCCCCCCAGAAGAGCUGGAGGAGGUGUCUGGGGAGAGGGAAGUCUGGGCAUCCCUGCUUAGAUUGUUGCCCCCAUGACCCGGCCCCAGAUAAGCGGAAGACAAUAAGCUCUUAAGCUUCGAAAAUGUAAUCAUGUAUACAAAUGAGUGUCUUUUGUUUAAGGUGAUCCAUAAUUCUGCGGCUCCUCCCUUGAAAAGGUUUAUUUCUUUGAGUUCUGGAAAAACAUCUCGAACUACACGAUCAACAGCACGCGGCGAGUGCAGGAUUUCGAGACACAAAACUGCAUUUGCAAAUUCAGCAUUCUCAUGUGUGGCCAUGCGACAGUGGAACACAUUACCAACAGAAGUACUAACAACUGGAAACUAUCACACAUUCUCCUGCAUGGUGAAAAAACAGCUCCUCUCAAACCAAACCUGCAGCCAUAAUGUAAUGUAAUGUAAACAUGCUCAGAGUGUGUGUGACAGACUGUAGAGGGACAUAAGAGUGAAUGGUUGGAUGCGAAUGAAUAUUUUAUACAGAUGGAGUUAUAAAUAUGUAUU